rnacentral:rRNA from 1 species
CGUAGGUGGCAAGCGUUGUCCGGAUUUACUGGGCGUAAAGCGAACGCAGGCGGAUCUUUAAGUAGGAAGUGAAAGGUUGGAGCUCAACUCUAACACUGCUCCCUAUACUGGAGAUCUUGAGUGCCGGAGAGGAAAACGGAACAAGUUGUGUAGCGGUGAAAUGCGUUGAUAUAACUUGGAACACCAAUGGCGAAAGCAGUUUUCUGGACGGAUACUGACGCUCAUGUUCGAAAGCCAAGGUAGCAAACAGGAUUAGAUACCCUGGUAGUCUUGGCCUUAAACGAUGUUCACUAGGUGUUGGGGGGGUAACCCUCGGUGCCGCAGCUAACGCAUUAAGUGAACCGCCUGGGGACUACGGCCGCAAGGUUG